GAUUAGAGGUUGCUUUUGAGUUUGAUCGUGGGUCAGGACGAACGCCUGGUGGCGUGCAUUAUACAUGCAAGUCGAGCGGACAGAAGGGAGCUUGCUGCAGGAUGUUAGCGGCGGACGGGUGAGUAACACGUGGGUAACCUGCCCGUAAGAAUGGGAUAACUCCGGGAAACCGGAGCUAAUACCGGAUAGUUCUUUGAACCGCAUGGUUCAAGGAUGAAAGACGGUUUCGGCUGUCACUGACAGAUGGACCCGCGGCGCAUUAGCUAGUUGGUGAGGUAACGGCUCACCAAGGCGACGAUGCGUAGCCGACCUGAGAGGGUGAUCGGCCACACUGGGACUGAGACACGGCCCAGACUCCUACGGGAGGCAGCAGUAGGGAAUCUUCCGCAAUGGACGAAAGUCUGACGGAGCAACGCCGCGUGAGUGAUGAAGGUUUUCGGAUCGUAAAGCUCUGUUGUUAGGGAAGAACAAGGGCAAGAGUAACUGCUUGCACCUUGACGGUACCUAACCAGAAAGCCACGGCUAACUACGUGCCAGCAGCCGCGGUAAUACGUAGGUGGCAAGCGUUGUCCGGAAUUAUUGGGCGUAAAGGGCUCGCAGGCGGUUUCUUAAGUCUGAUGUGAAAGCCCCCGGCUCAACCGGGGAGGGUCAUUGGAAACUGGGAAACUUGAGUGCAGAAGAGGAGAGUGGAAUUCCACGUGUAGCGGUGAAAUGCGUAGAGAUGUGGAGGAACACCAGUGGCGAAGGCGACUCUCUGGUCUGUAACUGACGCUGAGGAGCGAAAGCGUGGGGAGCGAACAGGAUUAGAUACCCUGGUAGUCCCACGCCGUAAACGAUGAGUGCUAAGUGUUAGGGGGUUUCCGCCCCUUCAGUGCUGCAGCUAAACGCAUUAAGCACUUA
rnacentral:rRNA from 1 species